GGCGGUCAUGCGCCGGAGUAAUCCAGAGCAACCAUCGGGUUGCAGGCCUUUGGCAAUCAUGGACCGGGGGGCCGCCCACUC
rnacentral:sRNA from 1 species